UUGCCCGAUGAUUAUAAAAAAGACGCGUUAUUAAGAGGACUAAUGCUGGAAUUCUUCACCCUUUUCUCUCUUUUUCUGUACUACUUUUUCUUGCUUUGGAUAUCCAGUGUCCUAUGAGCGAAGAUUAUGAGAUAUGAGGGCAA
ensembl:snoRNA SNORD97 small nucleolar RNA, C/D box 97